UUCUGAUUUUGUUGGUCUCUGGUAGAUGAACAGGGGCGUGAAUUGCUCGAGCCAAGUAAAAUGUGUGAGGCCUUCAAACAGCAUUUUGCCUGCGACUUUUCGG